GGGGGUGUAGCUCAGUUGGUAGAGCGUGUCAUUAGCAUCCUCCUUCUAUCUACGUUGACAAGGUCUUUGGUUCGAUUCCUAACUCGUCCA